GGAGAAUCAAAUUGAGAGCAAUAGCUAGAACGACAAUUUUGGCGAUCCAGAUCGCAUUCCAAGGCAAUUUAGAAAGCCGAAGAACUGCAUUCUGAGAUGCACGAUCCAUAUCGUGAUGUGUAGGGGGGAGGAGCAAAUUAGGUAACUAUGAUGUUAACAUGCCAAUUUAAGCUACCUUAAUAUAGAUACAGCCUCAUUCAUGCUUCUUAUAUAAUUGCUACUAAUUAUGAAGCCUUGGUGAAACUAAUCUUUUGUUGGCAAAAAGAAGGGAGAGAGGAAGAGCUAAAAAUAAAAAUGAGAAAUGCUCUUGUGAUGGAGCUUAUUUAUUUUGAAGCCUAAAUAUAGUAAACCUUCUUAUUUAAGCUUGAUAUGUUUGGCUUAUUCAGUCCAUAAAUUUCUAAAAAUAAUUAACUUUAAAAACCAAUUCAAAGCAAACUGAAUAUCAUUAAACCAAAUUAACUGAACUAAAAUAGUAUAAUAUGAUUCAGUUGAUUUAUUCAGUUUUAGGCUUUUACCAUUUAGCCCUAAUAUAAGUGCAUAAUUUGAGUUAGAUUUUAAUUUUGGAUAAAAAUAGAUAUCAAAAUAUAUCAAAUCUUUUAAG
rnacentral:misc_RNA from 1 species